rnacentral:rRNA from 1 species
AUUGAACGCUGGCGGAAUGCUUUACACAUGCAAGUCGAACGGUAGAGGGGGCAACCCCUUGAGAGUGGCGAACGGGUGAGUAAUAUAUCGGAACGUGCCCAGUCGUGGGGGAUAACGUAGUGAAAAUUACGCUAAUACCGCAUACGAUCUAAGGAUGAAAGCGGGGGAUCGCAAGACCUCGCGCGACUGGAGCGGCCGAUAUCAGAUUAGGUAGUUGGUAGGGUAAAGGCCUACCAAGCCAACGAUCUGUAGCUGGUCUGAGAGGACGACCAGCCACACUGGAACUGAGACACGGUCCAGACUCCUACGGGAGGCAGCAGUGGGGAAUUUUGGACAAUGGGCGAAAGCCUGAUCCAGCCAUUCCGCGUGCAGGAUGAAGGCCCUCGGGUUGUAAACUGCUUUUGUACAGAACGAAAAGGUUUCUAUUAAUACUAGGAGCUCAUGACGGUACUGUAAGAAUAAGCACCGGCUAACUACGUGCCAGCAGCCGCGGUAAUACGUAGGGUGCAAGCGUUAAUCGGAAUUACUGGGCGUAAAGCGUGCGCAGGCGGUUAUAUAAGUCAGAUGUGAAAUCCCCGGGCUCAACCUGGGAACUGCAUUUGAGACUGUAUAGCUAGAGUACGGUAGAGGGGGAUGGAAUUCCGCGUGUAGCAGUGAAAUGCGUAGAUAUGCGGAGGAACACCGAUGGCGGAAGGCA